UCGGCGAAGGGCUCCGUGACC
rnacentral:misc_RNA from 1 species